rnacentral:lncRNA from 1 species
UUCCAACAGUAAUAUUGUGCUUUGCUAGUUUCGAUUGCUUGCAUUUUGCAUUUUGCAUCUUUUAUCAGCAAAACACAUAAGUUUGCAUCCAGUUCCACCAUCCUAUAUAAUUCGAAGAACUGAAUGUCUUAUUAAAAUGACAUUUACUUUAGUUUAACAUAGAAAAUUAAAGAACUAAAGUUGUGCACUUGCAAACAAAAAGAUAGACAAUGCUUUGCUAUCAGCAAUGGACCAACCAUGAUCCCUUCUCCCCCUAAAAGAUCAGCAUGGCCAACCAUGAUCCCUUCUCCCCCAACAAUGCUUUAUUAACCUAGAAAAUGGUGUCAGGUAAUUUGAAAUGGAGCGAGGUACACAUUAUCAGCAAUGAACCGUGAUCCCUUCUCCCCCAAGAAGGCUUGAUGCAUCUGUAUUAAAUUCAGAGUUUCAGACUGCAUGUAAUUGUAAACGAAAGAUAUAGAAGGGAGCCUAAAAAAUAUAGGAGGCAGUACUAAUUUAUCCUACAACGUCGGCCAUUCCAAAUCGUGCAUAUAUAUUCUAUUCAAUCUUAUAGAAACUUGCCUCCAUCCUUGCCGUAGCUGAUAUGCUUGCCCGCCUCGGACCCCGCACGAACUGGG